AUGAGGACUCUGUGUCACAGCCAGGUGAACAGGCGCCUGCAGUGGUCUCUCCUCCUCCGCCAGCUCCAGGUGCAGCAGGCACUCCCGGGGGUCCCCCUGGAGACACGUGUCCUGACUCUGCUCUCCAGGAGCCCUCAGAGGUGCCAGUCCACCGGGAACUUUCUCUCCAUUUUCCUUGUUCUUGUACUUUUCUCCCAGGUAGUAUCAGGUGAGCAUGGUGUUCCCUUGGAGGAGGGUCAAGGAGAGCACUUUGGGGGGAUUUGGAGCAGUGAUCUGAUGAGGCACAGGGAGAGCUCUCUGCGGAGAGGUGGUGCAGAAAACAGACGUGGAAUCCCAUUGCCCAUGUGUCCUCCCUGCCCAAAGCUCAGCAGCCUCUCUGUGUCUGCCAGACCCCUGCAUGGGGUCCUGGGGGAGCCUGUCACCACUGGGGAGGCAGCGAGUCAGACAGGAUCAGAGCAGUGCAGUGCAGAACAAGGAGGUGACACAAAGUAAGAAAUGGUGGGUCCAGGGACCUUGAGCAUCAUCUCUCUAUGUUAGGUCUUCCCUCUUAAGGAAAGAAGAUGAAAAAUCGUGGUGUAGGGUAGGGAUGGCUGUGCUGUUUGACCAGUCCCAAUCCUCAGGGACUCUCAGUGGGAGACCCUGAGAAGAUAGCCCUGUGGUUCUCCCCAACGGUCCUUGAGUCCGCGGAUCUUGACGACACCUGGGCUGAGCCUCUUCCCUUGUGACUAUGCCAGGUUCCCUGGGAACCGCAGGAGAACAGAAUGGCUGGGACCGUCAACAUCCCUGGGCACCGAGGCCUAUUCCACACCCCCAGAGUUACUGACAUGAUUCGCAGGCAGGCAGUGUAAAUACCUUUAAGACCAAAGAUUUUUGAAGAAGUGACUAUCAGGCUCAUCAGCUUAAUUGCAAGCACAACUCUCUCAGGCUUUCUUCUUGGUCUUCAUGUAAGGAAUUUUUGAUGGAGUCAAAAUUUUAGAUGAUUAAAACCUUAGUCUAGUUUUUUCUUAAUUCAUGCUCCCUUAUCUGCUGAUGCAAAUGCUAACUUGUCUGCCCCCCUCCCCACUAGACUUGGGCCAAGCUCGGCUUUUC
rnacentral:lncRNA from 1 species